AAGACUAUACAUUCAGGAAUCAUUUCUAUAGUAUGUAAAUAGAGAAGUUUCUCUGGUUGCGUAGAGCACUCAAAACUACGAGGAGGAGCCAGAGCAUCCUCUCCUGAGCAUGAAGCCGACUCUAGGUGUUGCUUCUGCGACUGACUUUUGCCAUUGAUGAUCAUACUUCUUUUGGAAGGGGCAGAAGGAGAUAAUGCAGUCUGAGUGGU